AACGAGAGUGCAGGAACACUUAAGAGAAUAUAAUAAACACAAAGAUACCGAAAUCACCGAGACUAAAUCAGCUUUUGCAAGUCAUUUAUUGUCCUCAAAACACUUUCCUUCCAUCCCGGAAAAUGUAAAAAUCCUUCAUGAGUGCCCCAAGGGAAAGAAGCUUGACCUAUUAGAGAAGAUGGAAAUCACAAGGGCAAAAAGGAGUCCUGUACUGUCUUGUGUGAAUGAUGUUUUUACCUUCGAACCGCAUUUAAUUUUCAGCAAUAUUUAUCACGACCUGGAUAGCACGUAAGUUAAGCGCUUGCCUACGAACCCGAUGGUCGCUGGUUCAUUUCUCGACCAAGUCAUAUUUCACUUUUUAUUUUUUAUUUUAUUUUUUGCUUUUUUUCCGUUCUCCCGUUCAACUUAACCUCACUCUGCUUGUUUUGUUUACUUUUAUUUAAUUAGUUUUGACACCGAAAUUAAUGUGAACGUCAACAUUAUUUUUAUUUUGUAUGUAUUUAUUUUUGUUUUAACUUGAAUGUUUGUGGUGUUAAUCCUAUAGCUUUACCGUUUUUUUUGGACUUUGUUACGAGACGUGCUAUGGACAAGAGAAAAAGAAUAUUAUCUUUGCUGCUAGAAGAAGAGGAAGAGGAUGAUGAUUUGUUACUGUUUUCAAUAUUAGAUAUAAGGCGUGAAGUUAGUAACUUAUUUAAAAGGAGAAGAACUGAAGGAACUUUUAAAGUUCUAAUUAAAAACUAGAAGAAAACGAACUAAAGUUUAAAGAAUAUUUUAGAUUAACUUUAACCCCCUGUAUUUUGCUUCUGAUGCAUUUCUCUGGGAACUCUGGGAACACCAAGGAUGAAAUGGAAAGAUAAUAUUGCAGCGAACCUACAGAAUCUAAAUAUCGAACGAGCAGAGGACCUAAUGAAAGACCGU